AACAUCGCGCACCUGCGGGAACCUGCGGAGGGAUCAUUACAGAGUUGCAAAACUCCCUAAACCAUUGUGAACGUUACCUAAACCGUUGCUUCGGCGGGCGGCCCGGGUCCUUCCCGGCGCCCCUCGGCCCUCGCGGGCGCCCGCCGGAGGUAACCCAAACUAUUGCAUUGUAUGGCCUCUCUGAGUCUUCUGUACUGAAUAAGUCAAAACUUUCAGCAACGGAUCUCAGAUCGGAAGAGC
rnacentral:misc_RNA from 1 species